UACGUAGGUGGCAAGCGUUGUCCGGAUUUAUUGGGCGUAAAGCGCGCGCAGGCGGCUAUGUAAGUCUGGUGUUAAAGCCCGGAGCUCAACUCCGGUUCGCAUCGGAAACUGUGUAGCUUGAGUGCAGAAGAGGAAAGCGGUAUUCCACGUGUAGCGGUGAAAUGCGUAGAGAUGUGGAGGAACACCAGUGGCGAAGGCGGCUUUCUGGUCUGUAACUGACGCUGAGGCGCGAAAGCGUGGGGAGCAAACA
rnacentral:rRNA from 1 species